GGGGCUGUAGCUCAGUGGCAGAGCGCUUGCCUCGCACACAUGAGGCACUGGGUUUGAUCCUCGGCGCCA
rnacentral:tRNA from 1 species